AAACUGAGCAGAUGAGUUCUGCCUUUCUCUUCCACCAAGAUGACUCAGCCUUAGAGCCAGCUAACCAGGAACAAAGUCCUCAGAAACGAUGAACCAAGUUAAUUCACUCUUCCUUUAAGUUUUGGGCGCUUGGAUUGAGGCUGUGAGUGCUACACUGGCCUAGGGGUGGAGCCAGCAUUAUUGUAAUGGCAGGAAGAGGAUGUCUCUCUCUUGCUGGUUUCUGCCUUGAUGUUUGCAGCCACUGUGAACUGCGGCCCUGCCAUGCCACCCUGCCUUGGAGCCAUUAUGGACUGAAACCUCCAAAAAAUGAAAAUGGAAAUGCUACACGCAAAAUAUGAGAUGAGUCUUCAAAAGAACAUUUGGUACAUCAAAAAUUCAUGAUAUGUGCCAGGAUAAAUUUGGUCCUACACAAUUUUUCUGAAGCAAUAAAGUUUUAAAGAUA